rnacentral:rRNA from 1 species
UAGUGGCAGACGGGUGAGUAACACGUGGGUAACCUACCUUCAAGCUGGGGAUAACAGUUGGAAACGACUGAUAAUACCGAAUAAGAUAUAGCAAUAUAUUGAAAGGAGCCUUUAAAGCUCCACUUAAAGAUGGGCCUGCGGCGUAUUAACUAGUUGGUGAGGUAAUGGCUCACCAAGGUGACGAUGCGUAGCCGAACUGAGAGGUUGAUCGGCCACACUGGGACUGAGACACGGCCCAGACUCCUACGGGAGACAGCAGUUAGGAAUAUUCGUCAAUGGGGGAAACCCUGAACGAGCAAUGCCGCGUGAGUGAUGAAGGCCCUAUGGGCUGUAAAACUCUGUUGUAUGGGAAGAACGGCUAUAUUAGGAAAUGAAUAUAGAGUGACGGUACCAUACCAGAAAGCUCCGGCUAACUACGUGCCAGCAGCCGCGGUAAUACGUAGGGAGCGAGCGUUAUCCGGAUUUAUUGGGCGUAAAGCGUGCGUAGGCGGUUUAUUAAGUUUAAGAUAAAAGCCCGGGGCUCAACUCCGGUUCGUCUUAAAAACUGGUAGACUUGAGUGUGGUAGAGGUAAAUGGAAUUUCUAGUGUAGCGGUGAAAUGCGUAGAUAUUAGAAGGAACACCAGUGGCGAAGGCGAUUUACUGGGCCAUAACUGACGCUGAGGCACGAAAGCGUGGGGAGCAAAUAGGAUUAGAUACCCUAGUAGCCCACGCCGUAAACGAUGAGUACUAAGUGUUGGAAAUUCCAGUGCUGAAGCUAACGUAUUAAGUACUCCGCCUGAGUAGUACGGUCGCAAGGCUGAAACUCAAAGGAAUUGACGGGCACCCGCACAAGCGGUGGAGCAUGCUGUUUAAUUCGAAGAUACGCGAAGAACCUUACCUAGACUUGACAUCCCCGGCAAAGACAUGGAAACAUGUUGGAGGUUACCCGGGAGACAGGUGGUGCAUGGUUGUCGUCAGCUCGUGUCGUGAGAUGUUCGGUUAAGUCCGCUAACGAGCGCAACCCUUAUCCUUAGUUGCUAACAGUAAGAUGAGAACCCUAAGGAGACUGCCGGUGAUAAGCCGGAGGAAGGUGGGGAUGACGUCAAAUCAUCAUGCCCCUUACGUCUAGGGCUACAGGCGUGCUAUAAUGGCCAAUAUAAAGAGAAGCAAUACCGUGAGGUGGAGCAAAACUCCAAAGUUGGUCUCAGUUCGGAUUGAAGUCUGCAACUCGACUUCAUGAAGUUAGAAUCGCUAGUAAUCCUGAAUCAGAAUGUCAGGGUGAAUACGUUCCCGGGUGUUGUACUCACCGCCCGUCA